rnacentral:rRNA from 1 species
GUAGGUGACCUGCGGAAGGAUCAUUACAAUUCAGUAGCUUGCUACUGGUCGGGAGGCGCUGUAAGCCCGCAUAGUUUAAUUACUGAUGAGCGGCAGGCCCUCUGUCUGUACCCUUGUCUUUUGCGCACUCAUGUUUCCUCGGCGGGCUUGCCCGCCGAUUGGACAAUAUUAUAACCUUUUUUAAUUUUCAAUCAGCGUCUGAAAUAACAUAAUAAUUACAACUUUCAACAACGGAUCUCUUGGUUCUGGCAUCGAUGAAGAACGCAGCGAAAUGCGAUAAGUAGUGUGAAUUGCAGAAUUCAGUGAAUCAUCGAAUCUUUGAACGCACAUUGCGCCCCUUGGUAUUCCAUGGGGCAUGCCUGUUCGAGCGUCAUUUGUACCCUCAAGCUCUGCUUGGUGUUGGGUGUUUGUCCUCUCCUUUGUGUUUGGACUCGCCUUAAAGUAAUUGGCAGCCAGUGUUUUGGUAUUGAAGCGCAGCACAUUUUGCGAUUCUAGCCGAUAAUACUUGUGUCCAUAAGCCUUUUUUUCACUUUUGACCUCGGAUCAGGUAGGGAUACCCGCUGAACUUAAGCAUAUCAAUAAGCGGAGGAAAAGAAACCAACAGGGAUUGCCCUAGUAACGGCGAGUGAAGCGGCAACAGCUCAAAUUUGAAAUCUGGCUCUUUUAGAGUCCGAGUUGUAAUUUGCAGAGGGCGCUUUGGCGUUGGCAGCGGUCCAAGUUCUUUGGAACAGGACGUCACAGAGGGUGAGAAUCCCGUACGUGGUCGCUAGCCUUCGCCGUGUAAAGCCCCUUCGACGAG